rnacentral:rRNA from 1 species
AUACGUAGGGGGCGAGCGUUGUCCGGAAUGAUUGGGCGUAAAGGGCGCGUAGGCGGCCCGGUAAGUCUGGAGUGAAAGUCCUGUUUUUAAGAUGGGAAUUGCUUUGGAUACUGUCGGGCUUGAGUGCAGGAGAGGUAAGUGGAAUUCCCAGUGUAGCGGUGAAAUGCGUAGAGAUUGGGAGGAACACCAGUGGCGAAGGCGACUUACUGGACUGUAACUGACGCUGAGGCGCGAAAGUGUGGGGAGCAAACAGGAUUAGAUACCCUGGUAGUCCACACGGUAAACGAUGAAUGCUAGGUGUAGGGGGUAUCGACCCCUUCUGUGCCGCAGUCAACACAAUAAGCAUUCCGCCUGGGGAGUACGGCCGCAAGGUUGAAACUUAAAGGAAUUGACGGGG